rnacentral:rRNA from 1 species
AACGAACGCUGGCGGCGUGCCUAAUACAUGCAAGUCGUGCGUGAAAGUGGGAGCAAUCCCGCGAGUAAAGCGGCAAACGGGUGAGUAACACGUAAGCAAUCUGCCUCUAAAUUUGGGAUAACCCUGCUAACGCGGGGCUAAUACCGGAUGUGAACCAUUGGUCGCAUGAUUGAUGGUUUAAAGAUGACCUCUACUUGUAAGUUAUCGUUUAGAGAUGAGCUUGCGUCCCAUUAGCUUGUUGGCAGGGUAAUGGCCUACCAAGGCUGUGAUGGGUAGCCGGCCUGAGAGGGUGUACGGCCACAUUGGGACUGAGAAACGGCCCAGACUCCUACGGGAGGCAGCAGUAGGGAAUUUUGCGCAAUGGACGAAAGUCUGACGCAGCAACGCCGCGUGAGUGAUGAAGGCCUUCGGGUUGUAAAGCUCUGUUGAGUGGGGAGAAAAGCUUCAGGAAUAAUACUCUUGAGGCCUGACGGUACCAUUCGAGGAAGCCCCGGCUAACUACGUGCCAGCAGCCGCGGUAAUACGUAGGGGGCAAGCGUUGUUCGGAAUUACUGGGCGUAAAGGGAGCGUAGGUGGGGUCGUAAGUUAGGAGUUUAAUACAUGGGCUUAACCCGUGGCUUGCUCUUAAGACUGCGAUUCUUGAGUAUGGGAGAGGGCGAUGGAAUUCCAGGUGUAGCGGUGGAAUGCGUAGAUAUCUGGAAGAACACCAGUAGCGAAGGCGGUCGCCUGGCCCAAUACUGACACUGAGGCUCGAAAGCUAGGGGAGCAAACAGGAUUAGAUACCCUGGUAGUCCUAGCUAUAAACGAUGGACACUAGAUGCUGGAGGAGUCAAUCUUUUCAGUGUCGUAGCUAACGCAUUAAGUGUCCCGCCUGGGAAGUACGCUCGCAAGAGUGAAACUCAAAGGAAUUGACGGGGGCCCGCACAAGCGGUGGAGCAUGUGCUUUAAUUCGAUGCAACGCGAAGAACCUUACCUGGGCUUGACAUGGGAGUGAAAGUUUCCAGAGAUGGAAGCCUUUCCGCAAGGAACACUCUACACAGGUGCUGCAUGGUUGUCGUCAGCUCGUGUCGUGAGAUGUUGGGUUAAGUCCCGCAACGAGCGCAACCCUCGCCCCUAGUUGCCAUCAGGUUAUGCUGGGAACUCUAGGGGGACUGCCUAGUUUAACUAGGAGGAAGGUGGGGAUGACGUCAAAUCCUCAUGGCCCUUACGUCCAGGGCUAGACACGUGCUACAAUGGCCGGUACAACGGGCUGCAAGUCGGCGACGACAAGCUAAUCCCUUAAAACCGGUCUCAGUUCGGAUUGGAGUCUGCAAUUCGACUCCAUGAAGCUGGAAUCGCUAGUAAUCGUGGAUCAGCAUGCCACGGUGAAUACGUUCCCGGGCCUUGUACACACCGCCCGUCAAGCCAUGAAAGAUGGCAGUGCCCGAAGUCGCUUCCCUAACCGCAAGGAUGGGUGCGCCGAAGGUAAGGCCAUUGAUUGGGGCU